rnacentral:tRNA from 1 species
UGUAUUCUGGUGUAAGGCACAUUAUGUUUUGAUCAUAAAGGAGUAGUUCAAUUCUAUAGAUUACAA